CUCAGGAGCUCUGGCCUUAGAGGAGGAGGCAGCCACAUCUUUAAGGCAGCAGGAGGCCUUUAAGGCUGGCCAAAUUCUAGGAAGAGUUCUCAGUUGGUUCCUUUAGAUGGGGGUUGAAAGAGAAACAUCACAGGGGCUGUCUUUGCCAGGAAUAGAAGGAAAUUCUGACCCUGUGGAAGUAGGAGAGGGGAGAGACCUAGGGUGUGGAGGUGGGUGGGGGUGGCAGCAGAGGUGACAGGGCUCAUUAGAAUUUUAUUGACUGAGGUCAGAGGGAGCUUUGAGACAGCAGAAAAUGUGGGAGAUGGUAAAUUCUUUUGUUGUUGUUUUGUAAAUAGUCAUUUGAAAGAAUUAAAAUGACAAAAGGGAGUUUGUAGAACUUACUAUUAUGUAGAAAGCUAAAAGUUAAAGGCCAAAGGUAUUCUGCCUACCAUUCCUCACCACGCCUUUCAGGGAAUGUCCCCUCUCAACAGUUGGUACCGCCCAGCCCCCAACUUCUGGAAAGUAAGCUUGACUCCUCUAGGGGCCAGUCAGACCCCCAAACAGAGAGUCCCUUGGAGCAGAGAGAGACUAAAGGCAGUUAGGGGCUAUCAAUUGCAACUGCUGGCCUAGGAGGGUGCAGUCACCCCAAUUCUCCAGCAACCUCCAGAAAGGUUGGCCAGGAAGAUAUUUCCACUGGUCCCCACACAAGAGAGUCUCCAGCUGCUACCAGAAAUCUGGAGGGGAACCUCCCCUCUUUGCCCCGCUCUGGCCCCCACCCCAGUCCAGCCAAAGAAAGGAAUGAAGUUAACUGCCCAUUGUUCCUGUGACACUUCCUGAGAACAACAAAGAGCCUUUUUACCAGGGAAAGUGAAGCAAGCCAAAGAUCCACAACCUGGAAGUCACAGAAUUCAGCUGUGUUGGUGCCAGAUGGGAGACACCCAACAAGCCAUGUUCAGAGUUGGAGCCAAAACAGGCACUCCAAGGCACAUGUCCCCUUUAAUAAACACGUGUAAAAAGGUGACAUUGAAUCACAGGCCUGCGAAGAGACUGAGGCAGGAUAACACCAUUUAAAGGAUGGAUUUGUAAACGGAAACCACCCUUGCAAGCUUGUCAGGGGUUCCAGAGCCCUGUGGACCAUCUACUUCUCCUCUCUGGGUACCACGAAGCUCUCCGCACUGUAAGUCUGGCAUACUGUGGCUCACAUCUGUAAUCUCAGCACUUGGGAACUAAGAAGGAUUUCUGUAAGUUUGAAGCUAGACUGGACCAUAGAGUGGGUUCUAGGCUAGCUGUACAGAGUGACCCUACUUCAAAUCAUCAUCAUCAUCAUCGUCAUCAUCGUCGUCGUCGUCGUCAUCGUCGU